UCCAGCUUGAUCUCCAGCUCUCUGGUACUAGAUAAAGGGAAAACGCCACAAUUCUUUAAGAGAUUCCGGAAAGAAUUUGCACAUUGGACGGAUGUAAAGGAAAAGCUGGAGAAAGAACUGUCUGACCAGAUCAAGAUCAACUCAGAAAAAGGUUUGAGAUGACAUGAGAUGCGGUUACCCCAUGUGACCUGGGUAAUUCGGCGAUCGCAUCCCUUGCUUAUUGCAAUAACCCUGUAUACAGGGAUCCCAAUACAGGGAAUACACCAGGCCAUCCUGUGUCCUCGAAGAUGGCGAGGCCAGGGUGGCCUUCGAGCACAGCACAACGAGCGCUUGCGUUCGGAGGAUCCUGUGCCAGACAACUGGAGGGAUCUCUGUCUGUAACAGAUGCACUGUUUAAUGUUUAAAGUGUCUUUCUGCUUUUUAUUGUGUGUGUGUGUGUAUAUAGUUCUUAACUUGUUAAAGCUUCAAUUGAGUUCAUUUAUAUAUUUCUUUGUUGUUUCUGUAUUAAUUGUGUAUAUAGUUUUUACUUUGCUUUAUUGUAAUUUUAAUAAAAUACAGUUUGCUUUGAA